GACGAACGCUGGCGGCGUGCCUAAUACAUGCAAGUAGAACGCUGAAGGAGGAGCUUGCUCUUCUGGAUGAGUUGCGAACGGGUGAGUAACGCGUAGGUAACCUGCCUGGUAGCGGGGGAUAACUAUUGGAAACGAUAGCUAAUACCGCAUAAAAUUGAUUAUUGCAUGAUAGUCAAUUAAAAGGUGCAAUUGCAUCACUACCAGAUGGACCUGCGUUGUAUUAGCUAGUUGGUGAGGUAACGGCUCACCAAGGCAACGAUACAUAGCCGACCUGAGAGGGUGAUCGGCCACACUGGGACUGAGACACGGCCCAGACUCCUACGGGAGGCAGCAGUAGGGAAUCUUCGGCAAUGGACGGAAGUCUGACCGAGCAACGCCGCGGGAGUGAAGAAGGUUUUCGGAUCGUAAAGCUCUGUUGUAAGAGAAGAACGAGUGUGAGAGUGGAAAGUUCACACUGUGACGGUACCUUACCAGAAAGGGACGGCUAACUACGUG
rnacentral:rRNA from 1 species